CCGCGUGAGUGAUGAAGGUUUUCGGAUCGUAAAGCUCUGUUGUUAGGGAAGAACAAGUGCCGUUCAAAUAGGGCGGCACCUUGACGGUACCUAACCAGAAAGCCACGGCUAACUACGUGCCAGCAGCCGCGGUAAUACGUAGGUGGCAAGCGUUGUCCGGAAUUAUUGGGCGUAAAGGGCUCGCAGGCGGUUUCUUAAGUCUGAUGUGAAAGCCCCCGGCUCAACCGGGGAGGGUCAUUGGAAACUGGGGAACUUGAGUGCAGAAGAGGAGAGUGGAAUUCCACGUGUAGCGGUGAAAUGCGUAGAGAUGUGGAGGAACACCAGUGGCGAAGGCGACUCUCUGGUCUGUAACUGACGCUGAGGAGCGAAAGCGUGGGGAGCGAACAGGAUUAGAUACCCUGGUAGUCCACGCCGUAAACGAUGAGUGCUAAGUGUUAGGGGGUUUCCGCCCCUUAGUGCUGCAGCUAACGCAUUAAGCACUCCGCCUGGGGAGUACGGUCGCAAGACUGAAACUCAAAGGAAUUGACGGGGGCCCGCACAAGCGGUGGAGCAUGUGGUUUAAUUCGAAGCAACGCGAAGACCCUUACCAGGUCUUGACAUCCUCUGACAAUCCUAGA
rnacentral:rRNA from 1 species